rnacentral:misc_RNA from 1 species
UUUCCGUAGGUGAACCUGCGGAAGGAUCAUUAUUGUAUAACCGAGGAGCGCGGUUUGUCGAUGACCCGAAAGGUCGUGCACACCCGAAUUCCCUCACCCACAUCGAUCUCAGCCCUAUGUGCACCACUGCGUGGUUCCCCCUUUUGCUUGAUCUGUUAUGGGCUUACGUUUUAACACACACUUUGUAUGAACGGUUGACUGUAUUUUUGGUUUUUGCGAUAACGCAAUCAAUACAAAUUUCAACAACGGAACCCUUGGUUCUCGCGACGAAGAAGAACG